GGAUAUAUAAAGCAUUAUUAUGAGCUUCGCAGAUACUCCAGAAAUUGACCACCUCACAUGAUGCACCCCUGACGAAAGUUAAGAAGAUGAGCCAUGCUGCUGAAGGAUAAAUAGAAGAUAUAUUUGAAGUUCAUAUAAAGAGGAAAAUGAAGUAUGCAACCCUUGAUGAAAUAAAAUGAAAGAAAACUGAGAGAGCAAGUAUCAAUAUUUCAAAGAUAGAGAAAUAAUGAGAGAAUGAAAGAUCCUCAUGAGGAAUUUUCAACAGGUUUGAAAGUUCAGUUUUCAAUGUUAAUGAAAAGAAACUUUGUCCAGGAGCUGCAGUGUCCUUUGAGUUUCAGAAAAUCCAAGAAAAAAUAAAGAUUCAUGAAGUUGCUCUGACAUAAAUCUAACAAGUGACCUUAAAUUAAUGGAGUAAGCAGAUCAUUUGUGAAAUCAAAUUGGUAACCGAAAUA
rnacentral:lncRNA from 1 species